AUAGGGUUUUGCCUUGUUGCCCACGCUGGUCUCGAACUCCUGAACUUAAGCGAUCCUCCCAGCUCAGCCUCCAAAAGUGCUGGGAUUACAGGCAUGAACCACCAUGCCCAGCUGGUAAACACACUUCUUAAAAGACUUGCUCUGCUGCCUUUGGCAGCACACAUACUAAAAUUGGAACGAUACAGAGAAGAUUAGCAUGGCCCCUGUGCAAGGAUGACACGCAAAUUCAUGAAGUGUUCCAUAUUUUUCCCUAGAAGUAAACCUAGGCAAUACCAUUCAGGACAUAGACGUGGGCAAAGACUACGAUGAAAUAACCAAAAGUAAUGGUAACAAAAGCCAGAAUUGACAAAUGGAAUUUAAUUAAACUAAAGAGCUUCUGCAUGGCAAAAGAAACUAUCAUCAGAGUGAACAGACAACCUACAGAAUGGGAGACAUUUUUUUGCAAUUUACCCAUCUGACAAAGGUCUAAUAUCCAGAAUUUACAGGGAACUUAAACAAACUUACAAGAAAAAAACAACCCCAUCAGAAAGUAGGCAAAGGAUAUGAACAGACACUUCCCAAAGACAUUCAUGCAGCCAACAAGCAUAUUAAAAAAAGCUCAACAUCCCUGUUCAUUAGAGAAAUGCAAAUCGAAACCACAAUUAAAUACGAUCUCAUGCUAGUCAGAAUGGUGAUUACUAAAAAGCCAAGAAAUGGCACCGAGGCUGUGGAGAAAUAGGAAUGCUUUUACACUGUUGGUGGGAAUGUAAAUUAGUUCAACCAUUGUGGAAGACAGUAUGGCGAUUCCUCAAGGAUCUAGAAUCAGAAGUACCAUUUGAUCCAGCAAUCGCAUUACUGGGUAUAUACCUGAAAGGAUACAAAUCUUUCUACUAUAGAGACACAUGCACACGUAUGUUUACUGCAGCACUAUUUACAAUUGCAAAGUCAUGGAACCAACCCAAAUGCCCAUCAAUGAUAGACUGGAUAAAGAAAAUGUGGUACAUAUACACCACCAUGGAAUACUAUGCAGCCAUAAAAAGGAAUGAGAUCAUUCCUUUGCAGGAACAUGGAUGAAGCUGGAAGCCGUCAUCCUCAGCAAACUAACACAGGUACAGAAAACCAAACACUGCGUGUUCUCACUCAUAAGUGGGAGUUGAACAAUCAU
rnacentral:lncRNA from 1 species